GCCUAGUUAGCUUAGUUGGUAGUGCGGUCUGCCUUGUAAGCGCUAGGCCGCGGGUUCGAUUCCCGCCCGGGGCG
rnacentral:tRNA from 1 species